rnacentral:rRNA from 1 species
UCUUAGUGGCGAACGGGUGAGUAACGCGUAUACAACCUACCUUCUAGCUGGGGACAACACUGCGAAAGUGGUGCUAAUACCGAAUGUUGUAUUUUGAGUGCAUACUUAAAAUACUAAAGGUGGCCUCUAUUUAUAAGCUAUCACUAGAAGAUGGGUCUGCGUCUGAUUAGCUAGUUGGUGAGGUAACGGCUCACCAAGGCGACGAUCAGUAGCCGGUCUGAGAGGAUGAACGGCCACACUGGGACUGAGACACGGCCCAGACUCCUACGGGAGGCAGCAGUGGGGAAUCUUCCGCAAUGGACGAAAGUCUGACGGAGCAACGCCGCGUGAGUGAAGAAGGUUUUCGGAUCGUAAAACUCUGUUUUCAGGGACGAAUGUGUGGAUUGUAAAUAAUGAUCCAUAAUGACGGUACCUGACAAGAAAGCCACGGCUAACUACGUGCCAGCAGCCGCGGUAAUACGUAGGUGGCAAGCGUUGUCCGGAAUUAUUGGGCGUAAAGCGCGCGCAGGUGGGAUAAUCAGUCUGAUGUUAAAGUUCGGGGCUUAACCCCGUGAAGCAUUGGAUACUGUUAUUCUUGAGUGCAGGAGAGGAAAGUGGAAUUCCUAGUGUAGCGGUGAAAUGCGUAGAUAUUAGGAGGAACACCAGUGGCGAAGGCGACUUUCUGGACUGUGUCUGACACUGA